CAAGCGAGGCGGGAAAAGCUCAAAUUUGUAAUCUGGCGCCUUCGGCGUCCGAGUUGUAAUCUCGAGAAAUGUUUUCCGUGUUAGACCGCAUACAAGUCUCUUGGAACAGAGCGUCAUAGUGGUGAGAACCCAGUACACGAUGCGGAUGCCUAAUACUUUGUGAUACAUUUUCGAAGAGUCGAGUUGUUUGGGAAUGCAGCUCAAAUUGGGUGGUAAAUUCCAUCUAAAGCUAAAUAUUGGCGAGAGACCGAUAGCGAACAAGUACCGUGAGGGAAAGAUGAAAAGCACUUUGGAAAGAGAGUUAACAGUACGUGAAAUUGUUGGAAGGGAAACACAUGCAGUCAGACUUGCUAUUCGGGGCAACUCGAUUGGCAGGCCCGCAUCAGUUUUUCGGGGCGGAAAAGCAUAGAGAGAAGGUAGCAGUUUCGGCUGUGUUAUAGCUCUUUAUUGGAUUCGCCCUGGGGGACUGAGGAACGCAGCGUGCUUUUAGCAUGAGCUUCGGCUUAUCCACGCUUAGGAUGCGGGUGUAAUGGCUGUAUAUGAC
rnacentral:rRNA from 1 species